AAGUCGUAACAAGGUUUCCGUAGGUGAACCUGCGGAAGGAUCAUUAUCGAAUAUCUAUGGCGUUGGUUGUAGCUGGCUCCUAGGAGCAUUGUGCACGCCCGUCAUUCAUAUCUUUCCACCUGUGAACCAUGUGUAGGCCUGGAUACCCCUCGCUUUGGCAACAAAGCGGAUGCAAGGAUUGCUGCGCCGACUAGGCCGGCUCUCUUUGAAUUUCCAGGUUCUAUGUCUUUUUACACACCCCAUUUGAAUGAUUUAGAAUGUGUAAUCAAUGGGCUUUCAUGCCUAUAAAAAACUAUACAACUUUCAGCAACGGAUCUCUUGGCUCUC
rnacentral:misc_RNA from 1 species